CAGCCGCCGCGGGAAAACCGAGGGUGCAAGCGUUAAUCGGAAUUACUGGGCGUAAAGCGCGCGUAGGUGGUUUGUUAAGUUGGAUGUGAAAUCCCCGGGCUCAACCUGGGAACUGCAUCCAAAACUGGCAAGCUAGAGUAUGGUAGAGGGUGGUGGAAUUUCCUGUGUAGCGGUGAAAUGCGUAGAUAUAGGAAGGAACACCAGUGGCGAAGGCGACCACCUGGACUGAUACUGACACUGAGGUGCGAAAGCGUGGGGAGCAAACAGGAUUAGAUACCCCUGUAGUCCCUGUCUCUUAUAC
rnacentral:rRNA from 1 species